UGUCGAAUGCCUGGAAGAUCCAAAA
rnacentral:piRNA from 1 species